UACAGAGGGUGCAAGCGUUGUUCGGAAUUAUUGGGCGUAAAGCGCGUGUAGGCGGCUUUGCAAGUCGGGUGUGAAAGCCCUCAGCUCAACUGAGGAAGUGCGCCCGAAACUGCAGAGCUUGAGUGCCGGAGAGGGUGGCGGAAUUCCCCAAGUAGAGGUGAAAUUCGUAGAUAUGGGGAGGAACACCGGUGGCGAAGGCGGCUUCCUGGCCUGUUCUUGACGCUGAGGCGCGAAAGCUAGGGGAGCAAACGGG
rnacentral:rRNA from 1 species